rnacentral:lncRNA from 1 species
UUAUAAAGCACAAAAAUGUCAGUAUUCACCUCAGAAGCUAACAAAACCUUUAAAUAGACUUAUUAAGAAGGGAUAUAGUUACGAUACUGUUGUCAGGUCAUUAAAGAUUGCAUAUUUUGGUGUUAAUAUUGAUUCACUUAUAGGGUCUUUGCAUCGGAACUAAACACAUUUAUGAUUAAUAAACCAGUUGUUGGCAUGACACGGGUUAUGUUCUUCUCAUAUAUGUUAUGAUGGUAUGAUACUAAACCCCUCACGGGGAAGAUUGUGCCUGAUAUUCAUAUGAUGAAGACAUAAUUUUUCAAUCAGUUUAAUUGAAGUCCGGAGCUGGCAUGUCAGUUAACUGCUAGUAGUCUGAUGUUAUUUAUGUAUUAUUGUCAUUUUGUUUAUUUUCUUUGGUUACAUCUUCUGACAUCAGACUCGGACUUCUCUUGAACUGAAUUUUAAUGUGCGUAUUGUUAUGCGUUUACUUUUCUGCAUUGGCUAGAGG